rnacentral:rRNA from 1 species
GUUCUGGGCUACACACGUGCUACAAUGGCCGGUACAGACGGACGCAAAGCCGCGAGGUGGAGCAAAUCCUAAAAAGACCGGUCUCAGUUCGGAUUGCAGGCUGCAAUUCGCCUGCAUGAAGUCGGAAUCGCUAGUAAUCGCAGGUCAGCAUACUGCGGUGAAUACGUUCCCGGGCCUU